GGGUUGUGAGGUUAAGCGACUAAGCGUACACGGUGGAUGCCCUGGCAGUCAGAGGCGAUGAAGGGCGUACUAAUCUGCGAUAAGCGCCGGUAAGGUGAUAUGAACCGUUAUAACCGGCGAUACCCGAAUGGGGAAACCCAGUGUGAUUCGUCACACUAUCAUUAACUGAAUCCAUAGGUUAAUGAGGCGAACCGGGGGAACUGAAACAUCUAAGUACCCCGAGGAAAAGAAAUCAACCGAGAUUCCCCCAGUAGCGGCGAGCGAACGGGGAGGAGCCCAGAGCCUGAAUCAGCAUGUGUGUUAGUGGAAGCGUCUGGAAAGGCGCGCGAUACAGGGUGACAGCCCCGUACACAAAAGCGCAUGUGCUGUGAGCUCGAUGAGUAGGGCGGGACACGUGGUAUCCUGUCUGAAUAUGGGGGGACCAUCCUCCAAGGCUAAAUACUCCUGACUGACCGAUAGUGAACCAGUACCGUGAGGGAAAGGCGAAAAGAACCCCGGCGAGGGGAGUGAAAAAGAACCUGAAACCGUGUACGUACAAGCAGUGGGAGCACAGGUUUACCUGUGUGACUGCGUACCUUUUGUAUAAUGGGUCAGCGACUUAUAUUCUGUAGCAAGGUUAACCGAAUAGGGGAGCCGGAGGGAAACCGAGUCUUAAUUGGGCGUUAAGUUGCAGGGUAUAGACCCGAAACCCGGUGAUCUAGCCAUGGGCAGGUUGAAGGUUGGGUAACACUAACUGGAGGACCGAACCGACUAAUGUUGAAAAAUUAGCGGAUGACCUGUGGCUGGGGGUGAAAGGCCAAUCAAACCGGGAGAUAGCUGGUUCUCCCCGAAAGCUAUUUAGGUAGCGCCUCGUGAAUUCAUCUCCGGGGGUAGAGCACUGUUUCGGCUAGGGGGCCAUCCCGGCUUACCAACCCGAUGCAAACUGCGAAUACCGGAGAAUGUUAUCACGGGAGACACACGGCGGGUGCUAACGUCCGUCGUGAAGAGGGAAACAACCCAGACCGCCAGCUAAGGUCCCAAAGUCAUGGUUAAGUGGGAAACGAUGUGGGAAGGCCCAGACAGCCAGGAUGUUGGCUUAGAAGCAGCCAUCAUUUAAAGAAAGCGUAAUAGCUCACUGGUCGAGUCGGCCUGCGCGGAAGAUGUAACGGGGCUAAACCAUGCACCGAAGCUGCGGCAGCGACGCUUAUGCGUUGUUGGGUAGGGGAGCGUUCUGUAAGCCUGCGAAGGUGGCCUGUGAGGGUUGCUGGAGGUAUCAGAAGUGCGAAUGCUGACAUAAGUAACGAUAAAGCGGGUGAAAAGCCCGCUCGCCGGAAGACCAAGGGUUCCUGUCCAACGUUAAUCGGGGCAGGGUGAGUCGACCCCUAAGGCGAGGCCGAAAGGCGUAGUCGAUGGGAAACGGGUUAAUAUUCCCGUACUUGGUGUUACUGCGAAGGGGGGACGGAGAAGGCUAUGUUGGCCGGGCGACGGUUGUCCCGGUUUAAGCGUGUAGGUGUGUGUUCCAGGUAAAUCCGGUUCACUUUAACACUGAGGCGUGACGACGAGGCACUACGGUGCUGAAGCAACAAAUGCCCUGCUUCCAGGAAAAGCCUCUAAGCAUCAGGUAACAUCAAAUCGUACCCCAAACCGACACAGGUGGUCAGGUAGAGAAUACCAAGGCGCUUGAGAGAACUCGGGUGAAGGAACUAGGCAAAAUGGUGCCGUAACUUCGGGAGAAGGCACGCUGACACGUAGGUGAAGUGAUUUACUCAUGGAGCUGAAGUCAGUCGAAGAUACCAGCUGGCUGCAACUGUUUAUUAAAAACACAGCACUGUGCAAACACGAAAGUGGACGUAUACGGUGUGACGCCUGCCCGGUGCCGGAAGGUUAAUUGAUGGGGUCAGCGCAAGCGAAGCUCCUGAUCGAAGCCCCGGUAAACGGCGGCCGUAACUAUAACGGUCCUAAGGUAGCGAAAUUCCUUGUCGGGUAAGUUCCGACCUGCACGAAUGGCGUAAUGAUGGCCAGGCUGUCUCCACCCGAGACUCAGUGAAAUUGAACUCGCUGUGAAGAUGCAGUGUACCCGCGGCAAGACGGAAAGACCCCGUGAACCUUUACUAUAGCUUGACACUGAACAUUGAGCCUUGAUGUGUAGGAUAGGUGGGAGGCUUUGAAGUGUGGACGCCAGUCUGCAUGGAGCCGACCUUGAAAUACCACCCUUUAAUGUUUGAUGUUCUAACGUGGACCCGUUACCCGGGUUGCGGACAGUGUCUGGUGGGUAGUUUGACUGGGGCGGUCUCCUCCUAAAGAGUAACGGAGGAGCACUAAGGUUGGCUAAUCCUGGUCGGACAUCAGGAGGUUAGUGCAAUGGCAUAAGCCAGCUUGACUGCGAGCGUGACGGCGCGAGCAGGUGCGAAAGCAGGUCAUAGUGAUCCGGUGGUUCUGAAUGGAAGGGCCAUCGCUCAACGGAUAAAAGGUACUCCGGGGAUAACAGGCUGAUACCGCCCAAGAGUUCAUAUCGACGGCGGUGUUUGGCACCUCGAUGUCGGCUCAUCACAUCCUGGGGCUGAAGUAGGUCCCAAGGGUAUGGCUGUUCGCCAUUUAAAGUGGUACGCGAGCUGGGUUUAGAACGUCGUGAGACAGUUCGGUCCCUAUCUGUCGUGGGCGCUGGAGAACUGAGGGGGGCUGCUCCUAGUACGAGAGGACCGGAGUGGACGCAUCACUGGUGUUCGGGUUGUCAUGCCAAUGGCACUGCCCGGUAGCUAAAUGCGGAAGAGAUAAGUGCUGAAAGCAUCUAAGCACGAAACUUGCCCCGAGAUGAGUUCUCCCUGAGACUUAGAGUCUCCUGAAGGAACGUUGAAGACGACGACGUUGAUAGGCCGGGUGUGUAAGCGCAGCGAUGCGUUGAGCUAACCGGUACUAAUGAACCGUGAGGCUUAACCUUACAACGCCGAAG
rnacentral:rRNA from 1 species